rnacentral:tRNA from 5 species
GGCCGACUGGUGUAGUGGUUAUCACGUCUCGUUCACACCGAGAAGGUGCCAGGUUCGAUCCCUGGGUCGGUCA